rnacentral:lncRNA from 1 species
CAUGCAAUACUCAUCUCAGUAUAAUAUAUCAAUACUACUAAAGAAUAUAAGGAGAAAACGAGAUGGAUCUAAGUAAACCAAGUAUAAGCGAGUUGCACAAAAGGAGAUUUCACAACAAUCCAAACCGUUCAGUUUGUAGAGCUCGUUGCCACGAACAACAACUAAAAUUUUGUCUCAAUCGAGCUUGAAAUCACCUUUCGGUUGGAGCUGGAAGGAAGAAAUUUUCUUUCCCUCUCGUGCAUCUCCGCACCGU